GUGCUCGCUUCGGCAGCACGUAUACUAAAAUUGGAACGAUACAGAGAAGAUUAGCAUGGCCCCUGUGCAAGGAUGACAUGCAAAUUUGUAAAGCAUUCCAUAUUUUU
rnacentral:snRNA from 1 species